rnacentral:rRNA from 1 species
GGACCCGCACAAGUAGUGGAGCAUGUGGUUUAAUUCGAAGAUACGCGCAGAACCUUACCAACACUUGACAUGUUCGUCGCGACUCUAAGAGAUUAGAGUUUUCGGUUCGGCCGGACGAAACACAGGUGCUGCAUGGCUGUCGUCAGCUCGUGUCGUGAGAUGUUGGGUUAAGUCCCGCAACGAGCGCAACCCCACUUUUAGUUGCUACCAUUCAGUUGGGCACUCUAAAAAGAACUGCCAGUGAUAAGCUGGAGGAAGGCGGGGAUGACGUCAAGUCCUCAUGGCCCUUACGUGUUGGGCUACACACGUGCUACAAUGGUACUUACAGUGAGAUGCAAAGAGGCGACUCUUAGCU